rnacentral:rRNA from 1 species
UAGGGAAUCUUCCGCAAUGGACGAAAGUCUGACGGAGCAACGCCGCGUGAGUGAAGAAGGAUUUCGGUUCGUAAAACUCUGUUGUUAGGGAAGAAAAAAUGUAUAGUAACUAUAUACAAAAGAGACGGUACCUAACCAGAAAGCCACGGCUAACUACGUGCCAGCAGCCGCGGUAAUACGUAGGGGGCAAGCGUUGUCCGGAAUUAUUGGGCGUAAAGCGCGCGCAGGUGGUUUAGAAAGUCUGAUGUGAAAGCCCACGGCUCAACCGUGGAGGGUCAUUGGAAACUAAUAAACUUGAGUGCAGGAGAGAAAAGUGGAAUUCCUAGUGUAGCGGUGAAAUGCGUAGAGAUUAGGAGGAACACCGGUGGCGAAAGCGGCUUUUUGGCCUGCAACUGACACUGAGGCGCGAAAGCGUGGGGAGCAAACAGG